rnacentral:rRNA from 1 species
AUUGAACGCUGGCGGCAUGCCUUACACAUGCAAGUCGAACGGUAACAGGUUAAGCUGACGAGUGGCGAACGGGUGAGUAAUGUAUCGGAACGUGCCCAGUCGUGGGGGAUAACUACUCGAAAGAGUGGCUAAUACCGCAUACGACCUGAGGGUGAAAGCGGGGGACCGUAAGGCCUCGCGCGAUUGGAGCGGCCGAUAUCAGAUUAGCUAGUUGGUGGGGUAAAAGCCCACCAAGGCGACGAUCCGUAGCUGGUCUGAGAGGACGACCAGCCAAACUGGGACUGAGACACGGCCCAGACUCCUACGGGAGGCAGCAGUGGGGAAUUUUGGACAAUGGACGCAAGUCUGAUCCAGCCAUGCCGCGUGCGGGAAGGAGGCCUUCGGGUUGUAAACCGCUUUUGUCAGGGAAGAAACGAGUUUCUCUAAUACAGAGACUUAAUGACGGUACCUGAAGAAUAAGCACCGGCUAACUACGUGCCAGCAGCCGCGGUAACAC